rnacentral:rRNA from 1 species
UACAGAGGGUGCAAGCGUUAAUCGGAAUUACUGGGCGUAAAGCGUGCGUAGACGGUAGCGUAAGUCGGGUGUGAAAGCCCCGGGCUCAACCUGGGAAUUGCAUUCGAGACUGCUCUGCUAGGGUGCGGAAGGGGGAAGCGGAAUUUCCGGUGUAGCGGUGAAAUGCGUAGAUAUCGGAAGGAACACCAGUGGCGAAAAGCGGCUUCCUGGUCCAGCACCGACGUUCAGGCACGAAAGCGUGGGGAGCAAACAGG